GCUCUCUGACGGUAAAAUAAAAAAGCUAAACAGCGUUCCAGCUACAAGUCGACAUUGUGUAACACUGUGUCACACAGUGACAACACAAUGUUUCAUAGCUGGAAAGCAGCCUAAGUGUAGUAAGCCUUAAGAAUCUGACCAAUUAUAAUUGAAUAUCCGGCCUUAAAAUGGAAUUCAUCGUGAUGCCGGAAGGAGACGAGGGAUGAAAUUCAUAGACUGAUAUCUUAUUCAAGAUCCAUCUUUUUCGUCCAUAUAGUUUGGAAACAACUUUUGGGUAAUUAGCAGUCUCGUAUUUAAAAUCUACCAAUUUCAAAUACUAGACUGCUAAUUUUUAUUACAUGUAAAUGCGAGCAACGAAAGUUAAAACUUGGCUAUAACAUUUCGAGCGACAUCGCAUCGAGGACCGGUUCCAAGUUACAACUUCUUGGUAAACUUACCUACCAGGUGAAUUUACCAAGAAGUUGGAACAAUCGAUCCCGAGUCUCGCGAUGAAUGCAGAUGAAUGUGGGGUGCGGUCUGGCCCUAUUCUUGAAAUAGUUGCGCAUACGUAAAUAGCAAGUUGCGAAUGAUCGCAAUAGAAAAUCCCUAGAACGGUAUUCUUGACUGUCGCAAGCAGUAACGUAUACGCAAUUUUUCGUGUACGAUGCAACGAAUGGUUCAGACCAUUCGUUUCAUGAGAAACGUAUACGUUUCGAUGGUGAAAAGCAAUAGUAAAAGCCUCCACGUAUUAUUAGUGAAUCCUAUCAAUUGAAUAUUAAUAAAAAUAUUCAUAUUGGUGUUAGUCAGCCAACAGUCUCUCGCUGCAUCCACAAAAUUAUUGAUGUUAUAACAAGAGAAGAAAUAAUGAAACAGGAUUAAGUUUCCCAGUACGUUAGCAGAAUUGAACACGUUAUCCUGGAAGCACUCGCAAUACAUUUAUAUGGAAUAACUCAUAUGCAAAAAACGUGCUAUGGUUUAUCUCUACAGGCGCUAUCCACACAAAAAUUUCCAUUUAGUAGGUGAUUCAAGGUAUUCUCUCAGACCUUGGAUGAUGACUCCUAUAAUAGAUGCUAUUAAAGGUAGUCCAGAAGCUGAAUAUAAUACCAAACAAAUGAGAUGUCGUGCAUUAAUAGAAUAAUGCAAUGGAGUUCUGAAAAUGCGGUUUAGAUGUCUAUUGAAGUAUAGAGUACUCCAUUACUCUCCACCAAUAGCAUCUAAAAUUAUAUAUACAUGUGCUGUUUUACAUAAUAUGUACAUUGCCCAAAAUGUGUCACUGAAUCUAAAUGACGAUAAUAAAGAUGUAGAUUUGGGAUGUAUAAUAACAAAAAUCGUAUUGAAAAUGAAAGAAACGUCCGUAGAAUUGAUCCAAAUAUGGCAGCUGGUAGAAAUAAACAGCAAUUAAUGAUUGCAAAUUACUUCUCGUAAAUUAUAAGUAUCGUUUAUCAUUUAGUAUAAUUUUUAUCAAUAGUGGAUUUAUAUUAAUUA